GCUUAACCAAGUGAGCCCAGCGUUUUCAUAUCCUUAGAUAUGAAAAAUUCGUUGCUAAAGUCAUAAAGGGGCUCCUAGGAAUAGCACUUUCCUUACCUUGGCUCCGAUCUGGUUACCACACUGGCCGAUCUGAAUGUGUACGAUUUCACGCAUCCUCGCUUCCCGUCCAAGUGUAAGAUCUUCGCAGAACCUUCCGUCUCUGGAGCCG